GUUGCCCCAUAACCAAGAACAGAGGUUUGAAAAUAAAUUAGCCAACAAACAUACCACGAACUGUGCUAAGAAGGAAUAAGGACGUCACUGGGGCUGUUACUGGUAUGCUGCCGCUGGUCAAUAUGUUCAAACUUUGUGUUGUCAGAAGCAGCACAUGGAAUGAGAACUUUGGAGCUGGU